AUGCUGAAAUAAAAAAAAUAAUAAUAAUGAUAAAAGAAUGGCCACACGCAUUUGUCGUGUGGGGGCUGGGCUGACUAGCUCUUCUUCCUUCAGAGUCCCUGAAAUGUCGGGGCCACCCUGUCCCCACCCUCUCCCGAGGCGGAGCGGGGCCAGCAUGGGGUCCUGAGCCUUUGGAUCCGGUCCGUGAUGGCCUGGACGGGAGACCAGAAGGGGACAGGAAAGUCCAGGAAAGCUGUUAGCUAUUUUUAGAUCUUAGGGUGAUGAAGAACAUUAGAACACGAACAGAAGAAGAAACUACAACAGGCAGAGAUCGAUACGUGCAGCACAGAAUUAAACGUUUUGCAUCAUCAUCAAAAAAAACCUAAGUUUUGCAUUGAAGAACUCAACCGUAAGGUAAAUGAGAAAACAGGGGAGGACUACACCUAGGACAAAUAAAGCUCCAAAAAGCUUACUGUAUAAAAUUUUUUCAAAAAUCAAUAUGAAAAAGACCCCAUUAAAGAGAUGGGUGAAGGAUGCUGGUGGGCAAUUUGCAAGAGAAGUGAAGAGGCAAUGUGAGCAACGCCUGGCCUUUCUGGUUUUCUCUAACUGUCUAAGCCCAACCUGCCCUGCAUGAUGAGGUCGAACUGAAAAAAAAAGCAAAAAAAAAAGGAGAAUUUGGAAAAGUCAAAUCCAAGAGGCAUGACACCGAGCUAGCAUGAGAUACAAAGUGAAAAGUUGGCAGAGGAGCGCAGCCAAGACCAAGCCAAAGGCUCAGAAGGCCCCUUCUUUUUCGUUGCCUCAUUUAAUGCUCAAACAACUCCCAGGGAGAGAUUUCUAGAAUCCCUGUUUUGGGGUGAAGACAAUCAAAGCUUAGGAAGCCGAGGGCGCUUGCUCGCAAAGACACACCCAGCAUCGCGGUGGGAAGAGCCAGAAUUCGAACCUGCUGAUGCUCAAGGUUUGUCGCCAUCUGAGUUUUUCAAUCUGCCCAAAACGCUCAUGCUGCUCACACUGCGGUGAGGACAGACCAGAUCGGCGACGUGCGACUCACAGUCGUCACACGGCAGAUUUCACGCACCGUCCCGUCUCAAGACAAUCGCACUUAACUCCCCCCCCCACCCUGGAACUUGCGAGAAGGACGUCGUCACGUGGGCCCUCGGGACCUCUGGGUGUCCGGGUGUCAGGACUCACCGUGCCUUGUCGCGGCCCCGGCUUCUGCCCUGCCAAACCCCACACUUGGCUCAACCCUUCUUUUUUUCCCCCAAGGAACAACGGUGUAGACAAAAAAAAA